rnacentral:rRNA from 1 species
AAAGGAAUAGACGGGGGCCCGCACAAGCGGAGGAACAUGUGGUUUAAUUCGAUGAUACGCGAGGAACCUUACCUGGGCUUGAAUGCACGGUGCAUGGGGGGGAGACCCUUCUUUCCUUCGGGACUCCGUGCAAGGUGCUGCAUGGUUGUCGUCAGCUCGUGCCGUGAGGUGUCGGGUUAAGUCCCAUAACGAGCGCAACCCUUACCGUUAGUUGCCAUCGGGUAGAGCCGGGGACUCUAGCGGAACUGCCACCGUAAGGUGCGAGGAAGGUGGGGAUGACGUCAAAUCAGCACGGCCCUUAUGUCCAGGGCGACACACGUGUUACAAUGGCCGGUACAGAGGGUCGCCACCGCGCGAGCGGGAGCCAAUCUCAAAAGCCGGUCCCAGUUCGGAUCGGAGUCUGCAACUCGACUCCGUGAAGCCGGAUUCGCUAGUAAUCGCGCAUCAGCCACGGCGCGGUGAAUACGUUCCCGGGCCUUGUACACACCGCCCGU